AAGGAUCAUUACAGAGUUCAUGCCCGAAAGGGUAGACCUCCCACCCUUGUGUAUUAUUACUUUGUUGCUUUGGCGAGCUGCCUUCGGGCCUUGUAUGCUCGCCAGAGAAAACCAAAACUCUUUUUAUUAAUGUCGUCUGAGUACUAUAUAAUAGUUAAAACUUUCAACAACGGAUCUCUUGGUUCUG
rnacentral:misc_RNA from 1 species